AGUUUGUCUGAUACCCAAACCCAUCGGUUACACUAAAUCACUAAUACACUUAGUCACGUCCCAUUUCCCAAACCUAAAUCAAAAAUUAAAUUUAGGGUUCUUCCUGUGCGACUGCUACGACUGUUGCGACUCGCCGUCGCCGACUACUACGACUUCUUUUGAGUUUUUGUGAGUUCUGCGCCUUCUUACUCAGCUCGACUAUGACGCCUUCUUCCUCAGCUCGUUGCUCAUCCUUCAUCCUCAGAUUUGAGCCGUCCGGAGGUUGUUUCAUACAAGAAGGUCAUUUUUGAGUAUCAGUUUAGCUUCUUUGAGAUCCAGGUAUUGGAGAUAUCAUACUCAGGCAGAGUUACCUUAUUGAUCGCGAGGAUUCAAGGCAGAGCUGCUUGGUUGUCGCAGUCCCUUGGAGUCCUUUUCUUUUAUUGUACUGUCAGCUUGUUAGUUGAACAAUAUUGUAUUUUGAUCUUUGUGAUCUUUUCAUGUAUUCAGCUAGGGUUCGUGACUCUGUAUUACCUAGUCUUGGGAGGUUGUGAUGAUUAUGGCCGCGUAGGCUUAUUUCACUUUUGUUUUGGUAUUCAUAUUAAACUAUGUUUUAAAAUUAUCAUUGUUAA